GCGGAAAUAGCUCAGUUGGUAGAGCAUUAGCUUCCCAAGCUGGGGGUCGCGGGUUCGAGUCCCGUUUUCCGCUCCA
rnacentral:tRNA from 1 species